rnacentral:rRNA from 1 species
UACGGAGGGUGCAAGCGUUAUCCGGAUUUACUGGGGUUAAAGGGUGCGCAGGUGGAUAUGUAAGUCAGUGGUGAAAUCUCUGGGCUUAACCCGGAAAUUGCCAUUGAUACUAUAUAUCUUGAAUGCUUUGGAGGUAAGCGGAAUAUGUCAUGUAGCGGUGAAAUGCUUAGAUAUGACAUAGAACACCUAUUGCGAAGGCAGCUUACUACGCAGAUAUUGACGCUCAUGCACGAAAGCGUGGGGAUCAAACAGG